AAAUAAACAAAUAAGAAUUAAGAGAAAGGGCUUAAUUGCAACUUAAAUUAAAUUAGCAGGAUAGAUUCGAAUGAAAAACGAUAAAUAAAGGGGCCAAUUUUAAAUGCGCAAAAUAAAGAAGGGAUUAAUCGGAAAAAUAUCCCAUUACCCUCCUGUGCUGCGUUUCAAUGGACUAAAAUGAAACGAGCAGCAAAUCUUACGGCCCAAAUCAAAAUAAAUAAAAAUCCGAUUACACUAUGUUGCAAAAGCGGAGGGGCUGGACAUGCAAUUAGCCCCUCCGAACAAAGCACGCGGAUCCUGGCUAUUGGGUCGGGUCGCGCGCGGAUCCUGAAGAGGGCUAAACGGCGCCGUUUCAUAUUUCUUUAAAAGCCAGAAUUUUUUUGUAGGUUUCAUUUUUUUCAAAGAACAACACAAAAAAAGAAGAAAAGGGGUUCCUUUUCUCUGCUAGGGUUCGAAACCCAGCAUGGGAACCCCGCCGCCAUCCUCCGUUCUUCCCUAGCAACGCUACGGAGGAUGAUGGCCAGCGUCAUGCAGAACAAAGGGCUUCUGCCCUUUACCACCGAAAUAGGCAAGAAGAAAAUGAAAAAAAGAAAAAGAAGCCGUCCUCGUCCCUCGUUUCAACUCGUCUCCGACGACAGAGAUCAGGGCUCCGGCGAAGAGACCGUGGCGCUCAGGUAACUUUUGGGUUUUUGUUGUUUUUAUUUCAGUAAAAUAAGAAAAAAUAAAAAAAACAAUAACUAAAUAAAAAACAAAAUGAACAAAAAAUAUGUUAGAUCUAAGAACGCAAUAUCACCUUAAGAAUGUUUUUCUCUUUUUUAUUUCGAUUUUUUCCCGAAGAAGAUCUACAGGAGUUUCGUUUUCGGCCUUUAUAGCCGAACUAGGGCUUGUUGAUCAUUAUAUUUUUGUCCUUUUCUGUUUGUUUUUUAUUCUUUGUCUACUGUCCCUAUUUUGUCUGUUUAUUUGUUGUAUUCUUUUUCUUUGCUGUUGUGUGUUGUUCUCUGUUUGCAGGUCAGAAGGCUGGUAAUUGGCGAGCAACGUCGGUGGCGUGCGAGGAGGCGUGCGACGGCGCGGCGCUAGAGAAGGCCUGCAGACAUGCGGCGCCCUAGGGUUUGCUUCACUGCUGAAUGGGGUUAAUUUUGGGCUAGGGUUUCUUCAUUUUUUUGGGCCUGGGUAUUUUGUUUUCUGACUUGGGCCAUAUCAGGCCUGCUUCAAUGGACUGUGGUCCUUUAUUUAUUUUGUUUUAUUAGCCACUGGGCCCGACAAAUUUAGGCUUCUACAUAAUUAUAUCAAUAAUUAUCUUAAUAAUUUAUAAGAAUUGAAUAAAUCAAAAUUCAUAUAUAUAAUUACAUAUUAAAUUAUAAUUCAUUUAAAAUUUAUAAUACAUAAAAAAAUCUAAAUAUGAAAAUAAAAGGGGAAAAAUAAUUUCUGGGAUUUCUAAAAAAAAAUCAUAAAUAUAAUAAUAUCAAUCAAUCCCGCAAAAAAAAAAGCAAGUGGAAACACAUGGGCAAAAAACUGAUAGCGACCAGUUAAGAAAAGUAGCAAUCAAAUCAUGAAGUAUUAUAUAUAUUUAAACUUUUAUUUUAAUUUUUUAAUGUAUUAAAUAUAUUUUAAAGUAUGCAGGGCAAGAAAUCAUGAAAUAUUUAUUACUUUAGAUAUAAAACAUGACUCUCAACAAUUUUUCAAUUUG
rnacentral:lncRNA from 1 species